rnacentral:rRNA from 1 species
UACGUAGGAGGCAAGCGUUGUCCGGAGUUACUGGGCGUAAAGCGCACGCAGGCGGUCGCAUCAGUCUGGGGUGACAGUUCCCGGCUUAACCGGAAAAGGACUCUGGAAACUGUGCGAACUUGAGGGCUUCAGAGGGAUGUGGAAUUCCAGGUGGAGUGGUGAAAUGCGUAGAGAUCUGGAAGAACACCGAUGGCGAAGGCAGCCCCCUGGGCUAACACUGACGCUCAUGCACGAAAGCGUGGGGAGCAAACAGG